UUGACAAUUUGCUCUUAAUAUUAAACUUUAAACAUUGCUAUAACUAUAAGAACACUUUGAAUUCUUUAUUUAAACAAACCAACGUUGGUUUUUUAGGAAGCAUGGAAACAGUGUCGAGUGCGAUGGCAGAUUCCGCGGAGCACCGUGGACCUGACUCCGGCCUACGUCGUCCUCUAUGUAUCUGCAUUAUCGCUGUCUAUUCACCGUUACUACUAGCUGGCAGCUUUAUUUGUUUGUAUACAGUUAUGUAUUGAUUUUUGUAACUUUAUUGUACAUAUACCAAAUAUAAUAUUAUUCUUAUGA